rnacentral:rRNA from 1 species
CCUACGGGAGGCAGCAGUGAGGAAUAUUGGUCAAUGGACGAGAGUCUGAACCAGCCAAGUAGCGUGAAGGAUGACUGCCCUAUGGGUUGUAAACUUCUUUUAUCAAGGAAUAAAACGAGGCACGUGUGCCUUUUUGCAUGUACUUUAUGAAUAAGAUUAGGCUAACUCCGUGCCAGCAGCCGCGGUAAUACGGAGGAUCCGAGCGUUAUCCGGAUUUAUUGGGUUUAAAGGGAGCGUAGAUGGGUUGUUAAGUCAGUUGUGAAAGGUUGCGGCUCAACCGGAAAAUUGCAAUUGAUACUGGCAGUCUUGAGGACAGUUGAGGGAGGCGGAAUUCGUGGUGUAGCAGUGAAAUGCGUAGAUA